rnacentral:rRNA from 1 species
GACGAACGCUGGCGGCGUGCUUAACACAUGCAAGUCGAACGGAAAGGCCCUGCUUUUGUGGGGUGCUCGAGUGGCGAACGGGUGAGUAACACGUGAGUAACCUGCCCUUGACUUUGGGAUAACUUCAGGAAACUGGGGCUCAUACCGGAUAGGAGCUCCUGCUGCAUGGUGGGGGUUGGAAAGUUUCGGCGGUUGGGGCUGGACUCGCGGCUUAUCAGCUUGUUGGUGGGGUUGUGGCUUACCAAGGCUUUGACGGGUAGCCGGCCUUGGAGGGUUACCGGCCACAUUGGGACUGAGAUACGGCCCAGACUCCAACGGGAGGCAGCAGUGGAGAACAUGGCACAAUGGGGGGAAGCCUGAUGCAGCAACGCCGCGUGCGGGAUGACGGCCUUCGGGUUGUAAACCGCUUUCGACGGUGACGAAGCGUGAGUGACGGUAAUGGGUAAAGAAGCACCGGCUAACUACGUG